UGGCGGCGUGCUUAACACAUGCAAGUCGAACGGAAAGGCCCUUCGGGGUACUCGAGUGGCGAACGGGUGAGUAACACGUGGGUGAUCUGCCCUGCACUCUGGGAUAAGCCUGGGAAACUGGGUCUAAUACCGGAUAGGACCACACACUUCAUGGUGAGUGGUGCAAAGCUUUUGCGGUGUGGGAUGAGCCCGCGGCCUAUCAGCUUGUUGGUGGGGUAAUGGCCCACCAAGGCGACGACGGGUAGCCGGCCUGAGAGGGUGACCGGCCACACUGGGACUGAGAUACGGCCCAGACUCCUACGGGAGGCAGCAGUGGGGAAUAUUGCACAAUGGGCGCAAGCCUGAUGCAGCGACGCCGCGUGAGGGAUGACGGCCUUCGGGUUGUAAACCUCUUUCAGUAGGGACGAAGCGAAAGUGACGGUACCUACAGAAGAAGGACCGGCCAACUACGUGCCAGCAGCCGCGGUAAUACGUAGGGUCCGAGCGUUGUCCGGAAUUACUGGGCGUAAAGAGCUCGUAGGUGGUUUGUCGCGUUGUUCGUGAAAACUCACAGCUUAACUGUGGGCGUGCGGGCGAUACGGGCAGACUAGAGUACUGCAGGGGAGACUGGAAUUCCUGGUGUAGCGGUGGAAUGCGCAGAUAUCAGGAGGAACACCGGUGGCGAAGGCGGGUCUCUGGGCAGUAACUGACGCUGAGGAGCGAAAGCGUGGGUAGCGAACAGGAUUAGAUACCCUGGUAGUCCACGCCGUAAACGGUGGGUACUAGGUGUGGGUUUCCUUCCUUGGGAUCCGUGCCGUAGCUAACGCAUUAAGUACCCCGCCUGGGGAGUACGGUCGCAAGACUAAAACUCAAAGGAAUUGACGGGGGCCCGCACAAGCGGCGGAGCAUGUGGAUUAAUUCGAUGCAACGCGAAGAACCUUACCUGGGUUUGACAUGCACAGGACGUACCUAGAGAUAGGUAUUCCCUUGUGGCCUGUGUGCAGGUGGUGCAUGGCUGUCGUCAGCUCGUGUCGUGAGAUGUUGGGUUAAGUCCCGCAACGAGCGCAACCCUUGUCCUAUGUUGCCAGCGGGUAAUGCCGGGGACUCGUAGGAGACUGCCGGGGUCAACUCGGAGGAAGGUGGGGAUGACGUCAAGUCAUCAUGCCCCUUAUGUCCAGGGCUUCACACAUGCUACAAUGGCCAGUACAGAGGGCUGCGAAGCCGUAAGGUGGAGCGAAUCCCUUAAAGCUGGUCUCAGUUCGGAUUGGGGUCUGCAACUCGACCCCAUGAAGUCGGAGUCGCUAGUAAUCGCAGAUCAGCAACGCUGCGGUGAAUACGUUCCCGGGCCUUGUACACACCGCCCGUCACGUCAUGAAAGUCGGUAACACCCGAAGCCAGUGGCCUAACCUUUUGGAGGGAGCUGUCGAAGGUGGGAUCGGCGAUU
rnacentral:rRNA from 2 species